UGGGGAAUUUUGGACAAUGGGCGCAAGCCUGAUCCAGCCAUACCGCGCGAGUGAAGAAGGCCUUCGGGUUGUAAAGCUCUUUUGUCAGGGAAGAAACGGUGAGAGCUAAUAUCUCUUGCUAAUGACGGUACCUGAAGAAUAAGCACCGGCUAACUACGUGCCAGCAGCCGCGGUAAUACGUAGGGUGCAAGCGUUAAUCGGAAUUACUGGGCGUAAAGCGUGCGCAGGCGGUUUUGUAAGUCUGAUGUGAAAUCCCCGGGCUCAACCUGGGAAUUGCAUUGGAGACUGCAAGGCUAGAAUCUGGCAGAGGGGGGUAGAAUUCCACGUGUAGCAGUGAAAUGCGUAGAUAUGUGGAGGAACACCGAUGGCGAAGGCAGCCCCCUGGGUCAAGAUUGACGCUCAUGCACGAAAGCGUGGGGAGCAAACAGGAUUAGAUACCCCCGUAGUCCCUGAGCGGGCUGGCAAGGCGCAU
rnacentral:rRNA from 1 species